rnacentral:misc_RNA from 1 species
CCAUUUGCUCACGGGUGCAGUCUUGGGAAACCUGGCGGCCCCGAGCUUACCAUCCCUGCCUAUCCACACCUCACGUUACCUUCGGCAGGGCAGCCUGCCGCUGGACAAUUUCAAACCCACUGUAUCCAGUAUCCACCUUCCGAGCAUUUGAAUUAUCA